rnacentral:rRNA from 1 species
UGAGGAAUAUUGGUCAAUGGGCGGCAGCCUGAACCAGCCAUCCCGCGUGAAGGAAGAAUGCGCUAUGCGUUGUAAACUUCUUUUUCAGGGGGAUAAAAUUCUGUAUGUAUACAGGACUGAAGGUACCCUGAGAAUAAGCAUCGGCUAACUCCGUGCCAGCAGCCGCGGUAAUACGGAGGAUGCGAGCGUUAUCCGGAUUUAUUGGGUGUAAAGGGUGCGUAGGCGGAAUAAUAAGUCAGUGGUGAAACCCUGCAGCUUAACUGUAGACUUGCCAUUGAUACUGUUUUUCUUGAGUAUGGUCAAGGCAGGCGGAAUGUGUAAUGUAGCGGUGAAAUGCUUAGAUAUUACACAGAACACCGAUAGCGAAGGCAGCUUGCUGGGCCGUUACUGACGCUGAUGCACGAAAGCGUGGGGAUCAAACAG